CCUAACGGUCGUAUCUCCCAACCAACAUCCCAAGCGGCGCCGCCGUUCGUCGCUGCCGACCACGCCUCCACACUGCCGUCGCGAGGAAAGCAACCGCGCGCCCGAGACCGAGAGGGUCGUGGGCGUUGCCUCUUGACCUCAGGCGCAGCUGCGGCUCGCCGGAAGGGAGAGGCGGCCCGCGGGCUCCGGUCUUCCGGCCUCUGGUUGUCCCGAGCAAGGUAGGCGUUGGCGCAGCAUCGGGCAAGGCGGCGGCGACUGCAAGCACGUGGCUCGCCAGUUCCGCAGCAGCCUGCAGGCAGCAGGCCACAGGCAGUGCUAUGGGAGACCAAGAAGGUGUCCAUGGCAAGUGGGGCCGACCGCAUCAGCGCCCUCCCUGACGAACUCCUCCACCAUGUGAUGUCCUUCCUUCCCAUGCAUGAGGUGGUUUACGUCGCUGCUCGCCCGGUGCUGGCUUGACCUCUGGAAAUCUGCCCCUGCCCUGUGCGUCACUGGUGUCAAGGAUUGUGACAAUCCCAGAUGGUUUAUUUAGUACGUUGACAAUCUGCUCCUAUUACAACACCCUGGUACCCGCCUGGACUCAUUCAAUCUCAAUGAGUGUGACUUCAGUUUCAAGCCAUUCUUGCCCACCUAUGAUGUGGAUGUGAAUACGGGGUUCCAGAUCGCUUUGCUGUGCCAAGCUCGUGUAAUCUCAUUGCACACCAGCCUUGGCAUCUAUGUUGAAAAUUGGGACCUGCCUCUGGAGCUACCAAAUGUGCCUAUCAUCUCCCAGCACCUCAAAAUAUUGGAUCUUCAAAGGUGACUUUGAAAAGGAGCACUCUCGAUUUCUCAGGCUGUCCUACGCUGGUCAACCUCAAGAUGAAAGAAUGUGAUAUUAAUGGGAAUGUGCCAUCCCCAUUCUUGAAACAUCUCAGCAUUACAAGCUGUUACUUUGUGACACGUUCCUUUCGUGCUAGGAUUUAUAUGCCAGGUCUUAUUUCGCUGGUCUUAAGUGAGUGUACCCAUAGGACUCCGCUGCUCGAAAACAUGCCAUUGUUAGUUUUGGUGAUUGUCAGAGUUAAAGACUGUGAGAACAAAUGUUCUAAGAGUACCUAUGGGGAUUGUGGUGAUCAUACAUGUUUGUGAUGCUAUGAUUUUGACCAUGGUGCUAAUGAUCGGCGUGGUGAGUGCUUGCUUUUGAAAGGUUUAUCUCAAGUUACAGAGUUGGAGCUCUCCGUUGAUUCAACAGUGUUUAUUGUCAACAGGGAUUUAAAGUUGUGCCCUACAUUUUGCAAGUUAAAGACUUUGUUCCUUAGUGCAUGGUGUCCUGGUGUUGCUGCUGACCGUAAUGUGUUAACUUGCUUCCUCCAACACUCACCAAUUAUGGAGAAGCUGGUUCUCCAGCUUCCUAAGGUGCCAAAAGAUCGAGUGGGAACUGAAAGUAGUUACAAACGAUCAGAACACUCAUUUAUAUGCAGUCAUCUUAAGAUAGUUGACCUCAAAUGUGAAGAAGUUGAUGGGCGGGUUCAGGAAACUUUGGAAAUAUUGAGUACUUAUGGCAUACCACUCGAGCAUGUUAAUAUUCAACAGACUGAUAUGGUUUCUGGACCUUGAUGUACCUUAAAUCUUCCUGUAAGAGGACCUGCUGGGCUACUGAGUGAUCUACUAUCUCCUUAACCGUUUGAUAAAAACGGGGUAGCUUGCUACCAUGAUGUUUGUGUCUUGUCUAAUUAAAGUUGUUUAUGUAGUAGAAUAGAAUGUUAUGAGUUAUGACUGGGUAGUAUGACUUGUAUUCAGGACAUGCUUUAACAAGUAUCUGGUUUUCGUUAUAGCACUUUCAAAUAUUCUAGUAUAUCAUUCAGUAAUGCAAAUCAAAUAACCAAAAUGUGA